UUUGAACACAGGAAAGCUCACCCGGCCCAGACAUGGAAAGGAUUGAGAGAUUGAUAGCUCUUUCUUGAUUCUGUGGAUGGUGGUGCAUGGCUGUUCUUAACUGUUGGAGUGAUUUGUCUGGUUAAUUCCGAUAACAAGCGAGACUCUGGCAUGCUAACUAGUUAUGCGACCCCCAAGCAAUGUGGGUUUUUUUGUGGGGGCUAUCUGGCCAACUCUCUCCUGGCAACGCCUCCCCAGCUAGGAUUCAGUAACUGGCAGAGGUAGGUGGCUACCUCCAGGUGUCCAGCUGGGGGGGUGGGGCGCAAUCCAGGCUGGGAGCCACAUGGGAUUGGGGGAGGGCUGCGUGUGCCUGUGCAAAAGGCACCCCCCAUUUGAUGUGGAGAGUGGUCAUUGUAUUUUGUAGUUUUAUAUCUUGAUUUUAUUCUGUGAACCACUCUGAGACCCCUGGAUACAGGGC